UAUGGAUGGCGACCGGCGCACGGGUGAGUAACACGUAUCCAACCUGCCGACAACACUGGGAUAGCCUUUCGAAAAGAAAGAUUAAUACCGGAUGGCAUAGUUUUCCCGCAUGGGAUAAUUAUUAAAGAAUUUCGGUUGUCGAUGGGGAUGCGUUCCAUUAGGCAGUUGGCGGGGUAACGGCCCACCAAACCAACGAUGGAUAGGGGUUCUGAGAGGAAGGUCCCCCACAUUGGAACUGAGACACGGUCCAA
rnacentral:rRNA from 1 species